GGAUCCAGACUUUGAUCAUGGCUCAGGAUAAACGCUGGCGGCGCACAUAAGACAUGCAAGUCGAACGAACUUAACCAUUAGUUUACUAUUGGAGCGGUUAGUGGCGGACUGGUGAGUAACACGUAAGCAACCUGCCUAUCAGAGGGGAACAACAGUUAGAAAUGACUGCUAAUACCGCAUAUGCCUUGAGUAUCACAUGGUACAAAAGGGAAAGGAGCAAUCCGCUGAUAGAUGGGCUUGCGUCUGAUUAGAUAGUUGGUGAGGUAACGGCCCACCAAGUCGACGAUCAGUAGCCGGACUGAGAGGUUGAACGGCCACAUUGGGACUGAGAUACGGCCCAGACUCCUACGGGAGGCAGCAGUCGGGAAUAUUGCGCAAUGGAGGAAACUCUGACGCAGUGACGCCGCGUGCAGGAAGAAGGUUUUCGGAUUGUAAACUGCUUUAGACAGGGAAGAAACAAGACAGUACCUGUAGAAUAAGCUCCGGCUAACUACGUGCCAGCAGCCGCGGUAAUACGUAGGGAGCAAGCGUUAUCCGGAUUUAUUGGGUGUAAAGGGUGCGUAGACGGGAAAUUAAGUUAGUUGUGAAAUCCCUCGGCUUAACUGAGGAACUGCAACUAAAACUGAUUUUCUUGAGUGCUGGAGAGGAAAGUGGAAUUCCUAGUGUAGCGGUGAAAUGCGUAGAUAUUAGGAGGAACACCAGUGGCGAAGGCGACUUUCUGGACAGUAACUGACGUUGAGGCACGAAAGUGUGGGGAGCAAACAGGAUUAGAUACCCUGGUAGUCACACCGUAAACGAUGGAUACUAGGUGUAGGGUGUGAUAAACAUUCUGUGCCGUCGCAAACGCAGUAAGUAUCCCACCUGGGGAGUACGGCCGCAAGGUUGCAACUCAAAUGAAUUGACGG
rnacentral:rRNA from 1 species